CCGACUGAGGUUAAUUGUCCCGAAGAGCAGCACCUGAGCCCACCCGGCCUCGUCUGCCCCAUUUCAGAGUGGGCAGUGUCCAGUGCCCUCAUGUUUGCCCCCAGAGUGGCCUGGCUAGGCAGCUGGCUUGAGCCCCAUGUGUUUACUGGGAUAAAAGGUGAUUGUGGUGACUGGAAACACUAAGAAGCUGGAAUAGAAGCAGCAACAGUGUGAGAAAAAACAGUUUGGCAGAACUUGGGUUAUCCUCAAGCUUUCACUAGCAAGCUGUAUUGUAUACUUGGCAGAGGCAUUAUAAUGCAAGGAAAAGCACCAAAACCCCAGUCAGUAGGACAAUAAAAAUAAAUUCCCAAGGAAGUGUAAAAGGAAGUGUAAGCUUCCUUUUCAUCGUGAAGUACAACUUGUGGGAUUUUUGUGCACUGGCCUGAAGAAAGCUAUAUAGACAACCUGUCAGAAAGACUGAGGGGAGGCUGUCCUUCCACCUAGGUCUGUGUUUUCCUCAGUCCUGUUGGGAAGAGCAUAAGGAGAACACAACUGUUGAAGUGUGCUUUACUUUCUGGCUCUACCUCCUGGCUACAUGGCAUAGUGAUUGCUUGAAAGCAAAGCUGUUAUUACAGCUAUGCCGUGACAGCUACAGCUCGUCCAUAGCUGCACAAACAAUUUGGCUUUGACAGACACUCAAGCAGUUAGCUCAUUGAAGUAAAGAAGUCCCCAAGUAUGAAAAUGAUUGGCUGAAUUCAAGCUCAGACAAGUGGACCCCAGCCAAUUCCUUCGAGCCAAGGAUGCACCCACAUCAUCGGCCGGGGGAGUGGUGGAGUCGAAAUCUUUGUCCAAUCAACUCUGUACGAGCAGGAAAUUUAAAGCCCCUAUAAAAGGGGCUGCCCUUCAAAAAAUGCUGGCUGUUGCUGCAUGACCCUUGGUGUGUAUGGGUGGUAUUCCUGUCUCCACCAUCAGCAACGCUAUGCAUUAUUCACAAAGAGAAACAAGUGUUAAUUAUUUCUGUUUGGUGCAUUCAGUGAUAGCCUGCUGUUGUAAUUCCCCCCCCCCCCCCACCCCAUGGAUUUCUGGAAGUUUUUAAUAGCUUUUGGUAUACCUCGUGAUGAAAUUCCAGGUCCUUGGUGCAAUCCUUUUUGAAAAAGGUGGGUCCAAAUGCUAUAAAUGCAAUUUUUGGCAAAGAGCUAUCAAUUUUUUUUUAGCUGUAUAGAAAUUGGGUGAAAACACUAUGUUUAGCCUGCCAUGUAAAGAAAGGAUUGAUUGAUUAGAUUAAGUCACAAAAAAAAAGUCAGCGCUAUGAGUGUAACCCUCCCUGCACCAACCCUAAGUAGGAUCACUCAGAGUGAAAAUACAGGACAAUUUGAUGGAUGCUCAUUUCACUGCAAUGCUCCAGCAAUAUAAUUAAACCAAGAAUGAAGAUUUAAGAUGGAAAUCUUCCUUGCACCUUAGAAAUACAAGGCAAAGGGGGUAGAGCCAGCAUUUAGCAACCAUGCAGAGGAAAGAACAGAAAUUAACUGAUUUGGAAUGGACAGGCUACUUACAGUUUUAUCUGGAUUCCUGUUUUGCCUCACUGUACCAGAAAAUAUUUUAAUUGAUGUAGAAAACUUAAUUUAAAAAGUUUACUUUACCAGAACUGUUUUCUGUAUCAUCAUCUCCUAAGUGGAAGACUGAUUCUAUGUUCAUCAAAAGAUGGUUGUGGAUGGAACAGCAUUGCUGAGCACAGUUGACUUUGUGGAUACAGUGUUGGUGACCAGGUGAGGGAUGAGCUGUGGAUUGAUGGAGCAGCUGUGGCUUGAGGACACCCUCUGUGCUUGCAUCUCCUUGCUUUCUGUGAGCAAGAGAAGUCUGUGCCCAUCUUUAUGCAGAUCUGUGAUCCUGGUCAUAACUGCAGCAUUGAGCCCCAAGUAAAGCUAUUGCAAAUGUGAUCAUUUGCCAUUAGCUGUCAGAACAGAUAGAAGAGCAUUUACACCAGCAUUUGAAAGCUGCAAUGAAAGAGCUCUGUUUCCAAUUCAGACACAAAGCACAUGGGCUUCUUAUAUUUGCUCAGUAUUCCCAAUCCACUAUUAGACUGUGCCUGUUCUGUGCAAUCUGUUUUUAUCUGCCCCCAUCUGUUCCAAUCUGAUGUUUUUUUCCUGAAAAAUGAAGCUGGCAGAGUGUGAUUGUUGCAAAGGUAAUCAAUUACUGCAGCUGUAAAAGUGUUCUGCCUGGUGGAGUCAGUGUGUGCUCUUACCAGGCUGCUGCACUUCCUCCACCCCUUCCCCUUGCACAGGUAAACUGCACUGCCAUGGGCUGGAGCCAGCUAUGAUGGAGGCAGCUCUGGCUGCUACUGAAUGACAAAUGGGAGACUGCCUGCUGUAGUUCAGGGUUUGUGAGGGACUUUGUCAGUGAGAACAGCUACUGGUGGUGCAUGAAUGGCUGAAAACUGCAUUUGGGGAAUAGUUGUAAGUGGCAGCUGUGAAAGAGGGUGGGUGUUCCUCAGCUGGCUGGCCUGGGCCUGGUACCACUCAAGUAUGGCUUUUAUUUGUAAAUGAAUUGAAGGAAGGGAUGGAGAGUACACUUAACAAAUUGGCACAAUACAAAACUUGGAAGGAAUAGAAUUUGAACAUCUCCCUGCGAAAGCAUCCAAUUGUACUAGCACAGUAGAUUGAGCAUUUGGACAAGGAGAAAGUGUAAGAACAACAUCUGCACAGACAGAGGAUACAGGAUACCCUAUGAGAAGAGAAUGAUGGGAAUUACUAUGCUCCGUUCACCUGACUCUCCAUGCCAGCAAGGUCAAGCUUUUGUGAAGUAUUAACAUUGCUAAGAUGUCUGAGGAACAUUUAUAUUUCUGCAGGAAAGGGGGAGUCAUCUGCCCACUCUGCUUGUCAUGCUGCCAGAUGGAACCUGCAGUUCAGGCUCUGGUCUAACAACAGCUUACAAGCCAGGCAAAAGUAGCCUGGAGGAAAGAGAAAAGUGGUGAGAGAUACAUGAAAUAUGAUCUUGGAAGAACUAUGUAUGCAAAUAUAAAACAAAACAGGAAGAUUUGGAGAAGACAUCAGCUCUCAGGUGCAAGAGAGAUCUGUGAAGCCCCCAGCAAUUAUCUGUUCCCCUCCUUAUAUCUAUGAACAAGGAAUCAUGUGUCAGGGCUCCUGCAUGAAAGACUUAGCCAAACAGCAGGGAAAGUGUGCUAGUGAUAAGCCCUUUUUUAUAAAAAAGAAUAGUUUUUGGCUCUUAGGUUGUGCUAUAGGCACUGGGCCAGAACUCACAGAAUCAUCAUAAAGAAGCCCAAAUUUGAAGGAACCUUGGAGACCAUCUGCCCAGCUUUUGUGGGAAAGGGAGCCUAGGUGAGAUUAUCUAGCCCUUUGUCCAGUCACGUCUUAAAAACUGCCAGUGGUGGUGUCUCUGCCACCUCCUUAGGAAAGUUCUUCAUGUGAAUGGUUUUUCAGACUGUAAAAAAACUUGCUUCUUAUAUAAUCAUGUGCUGCCAUAUACUAGCUGGUUUGUGCUAGGCAAAAUAACCAGCCCCUGGAUUGACUGACAGGGCCUUGCGCAGUCAAAUCACUCCCAAGGCUGCAGGCAUUUCACUGGCCAGAACCUGGAAGGGGCAUAGAGAUUAAUGCAUCCAGAAAUAUCCAGACUAUAUCCAAGGAAAGUAUCCAGACCAAGUUUUUCAAAUACUCUCCAUAAGGAAGAGCUUGAGAAAUUCUCUCUGUUCCCACAUGAACUCUGGGGUGAAUGGUCUUUGUCUCCUGCCCACUCCCCGCAACGAGUCACAUUACAAUAAUGGAAACCAUGGAGUAGGUCCAUAGUGUUAUGGACCUAGGACUUGGCUAACCCUGCCUCUGAAAUAGCAAAAACCUGAAUGACAUGUAUUAAAAAAAGACAGUGUUUUCUAGUUUUGGGGAAAGGAAAAUCACAUUUUUAUGGACUACAUCUUGUGUGGUAAAGUCUUGGAAUUAUUUGCCUUUUGCACAAAGAGCAAAAUUUGCUGUCUCACAGAGCACUUUCCUAGGAGCUGAUAUAUAACAAAAUCUUUACAUGGCAUUGGGAGGGAAAAUAUAAACAGGUUACUGCUUUGAGCUUCAGAUCUUACUUUGGUAGAAUGAGAAUAUUUCCAUUUACCUCAGCAGUAGUUUAGAUUUUCACCAGGUGUUUUUGAGAAUACCAAUACCUACUAACAGAUGAUCUAAAUAAAUACUGCUUAUUUCUACCUUUCAAAUCUGCAUAAUAAUAAAUACUGCUUUGUUACUCUGGCAUAUCAAUUACAGCAUGUAUGAUAUCACAAAAGUGAUGUUCUAAGAGAAGCCGCUAGCAGAU